GACAAGGGGAGGAUAGGCUAAAGAGAGAACCGCACUGCAUAAAAGCAAGAGUAUAAUCUAGACAAGUGCCCACAUGCAUUCGGUGGUCUGGAACAAUCCUAACCCUGGGACAUUCUGGAGGUGACAAAAUGACGGCCAGAGGAACCCAACAUAUUGUGGGUCACAAUAUUGUGAUGGCCCAUCACAAUAAAGAAAGAAGUGGAUUCCUAGGGAAAAGAAAGGAGCUAUGUCCUGCAUGUUUGAAAUGGCAAGAACUUAGUUAACAACAGAAAUCUCUAUAUGACCCCACAAGUGUUCCUGAGGUUAUAUAAGUGAUGAAGAAAACCCUCCCCACAUCAGCCAUGUCCAAUUCAUCGCUUUACAGGAACAUUAUGCGAAGAGACAGGAAGCAUCCCAAAUCCACCCUUCGAGAGAAAAGACAGAAUACACCCCCAAAUACAUCUCUUAAUCACAGAUUGGGAUUGUCUAUCACAGCUCCUCAUUGCAUCCUGUGGAUUUAAGGUACACGGAACUCCUUCUGAAAUCUGUGCCCCUUCUUAGAUAGAGCCCAGAUAUUUUGUAUUACUGAUCCAUGGUGUUAAAGUUGCACUACAACAUCCAGGAACCCCAGCUAUUUGUUAUUGUCGUGUCCCACUCCUCCGCUGACGGCCGGGUCAGGGAAAUCCGAAUCAGGUGUGCCUCUGCAGCUCUGCCAAAGUCCUAGCAAAGUCCUCAGGGCAGGCAGGAGACCAGAAAGUGACUUCAGCAAGAUAUGUUUAGACUUUGCCUGACUCAGAGACUGCCAGAAAGCAGAUCCUUUAUAUAGGCCAUGGGGUGUGGCUCCAUGACUCAGCACUUAUCCAGGCCUGCCCCUCCCUUCCUUCUGUUGCCUCCGC